GAUGAACGCUAGCGGCAGGCUUAAUACAUGCAAGUCGAGGGGCAGCGGGGGUAGCAAUACCUGCCGGCGACCGGCAAACGGGUGCGGAACACGUACACAACCUUCCUUUAAGUGGGGAUAGCCCAGAGAAAUUUGGAUUAAUACCCCGUAAUAUUGUUGGAUGGCAUCAUUUGACAAUUAAAGCUGAGGCGCUUAGAGAUGGGUGUGCGUCUGAUUAGGUAGUUGGUGUGGGUAACGGCCCACCAAGCCUUCGAUCAGUAACUGGUGUGAGAGCACGACCAGUCACACGGGCACUGAGACACGGGCCCGACUCCUACGGGAGGCAGCAGUAAGGAAUAUUGGUCAAUGGACGCAAGUCUGAACCAGCCAUGCCGCGUGGAGAUGAAGGUCCUCUGGAUUGUAAACUUCUUUUAAUCUGGGAAGAAAUGCUAUUUUUUCUAAAGUGUUUGACGGUACCAGAUGAAUAAGCACCGGCUAACUCCGUGCCAGCCGCCG
rnacentral:rRNA from 1 species